rnacentral:rRNA from 1 species
GACGAACGCUGGCGGCGUGCUUAACACAUGCAAGUCGAACGGAAAGGCCCUGCUUUUGUGGGGUGCUCGAGUGGCGAACGUGUGAGUAACACGUGAGUAACCUGCCCUUGACUUUGGGAUAACUUCAGGAAACUGGGGCUAAUACCGGAUAGGAGCUCCUGCUGCAUGGUGGGGGUUGGAAAGUUUCGGCGGUUGGGGAUGGACUCGCGGCUUAUCAGCUUGUUGGUGGGGUAGUGGCUUACCAAGGCUUUGACGGGUAGCCGGCCUGAGAGGGUGACCGGCCACAUUGGGACUGAGAUACGGCCCAGACUCCUACGGGAGGCAGCAGUGGGGAAUAUUGCACAAGGGGCGGAAGCCUGAUGCAGCAACGCCGCGUGCGGGAUGACGGCCUUCGGGUGGUAAACCGCUUUCGCCUGUGACGAAGCGUGAGGGACGGUAAUGGGUAAAGAAACACCGGCUAACUACGU